CCUACGGGAGGCAGCAGUGGGGGAUAUUGCACAAUGGGGGGAACCCUGAUGCAGCGACGCCGCGUGGGUGAAGAAGCGCCUCGGCGCGUAAAGCCCUGUCAGCAGGGAAGAAAAUGACGGUACCUGAAGAAGAAGCCCCGGCUAACUACGUGCCAGCAGCCGCGGUAAUACGUAGGGGGCAAGCGUUAUCCGGAUUUACUGGGUGUAAAGGGGGCGCAGACGGCGAUGCAAGCCAGGAGUGAAAGCCCGGGGCUCAACCCCGAGACUGCUCUUGGAACUGGGUGGCUGGAGUUCAGGAGGGGCAGGCGGAAUGCGUGGUGUAGCGGUGAAAUGCGUAGAUAUCAGGAGGAACACCGAUGGCGAAGGCGGCCUGCUGGACUGCAACUGACGUUGAGGCCCGAAAGCGUGGGGAGCAAACAGGAUUAGAUACCCUGGUAGUC
rnacentral:rRNA from 1 species